CCUACGGGAGGCAGCAGUGAGGAAUAUUGGUCAAUGGACGAGAGUCUGAACCAGCCAAGUAGCGUGAAGGAUGACUGUCCUAUGGGUUGUAAACUUCUUUUAUAUGGGAAUAAUAUGUUCCACGUGUGGGAGUUUGUAUGUACCAUAUGAAUAAGGAUCGGCUAACUCCGUGCCAGCAGCCGCGGUAAUACGGAGGAUCCGAGCGUUAUCCGGAUUUAUUGGGUUUAAAGGGAGCGUAGGUGGAUUGUUAAGUCAGUUGUGAAAGUUUGCGGCUAAACCGUAAAAUUGCAGUUGAAACUGGCAGUCUUGAGUACAGUAGAGGUGAGCGGAAUUCGUGGUGUAGCGGUGAAAUGCUUAGAUAUCACGAAGAACUCCGAUUGCGAAGGCAGCUCACUGGACUGCAACUGACACUGAGGCUCGAAAGUGUGGGUAUCAAACAGGAUUAGAUACCCGUGUAGUC
rnacentral:rRNA from 1 species